UACGGAGGGUGCGAGCGUUAAUCGGAAUUACUGGGCGUAAAGCGUGCGCAGACGGUUGCGUAAGUCAGAUGUGAAAGCCCCGGGCUCAACCUGGGAAUGGCAAUGGAUACUGGCAGGCUAGAGUGCGGUAGAGGGUAGUGGAAUUCCCGGUGUAGCGGUGAAAUGCGUAGAGAUCGGGAGGAACACCAGUGGCGAAGGCGGCUACCUGGACCAGUACUGACACUGAGGCACGAAAGCGCGGGGAGCGAACAGG
rnacentral:rRNA from 1 species